rnacentral:lncRNA from 1 species
UUUAAUUAUUUUUAUUUGUUUAAUACUUUUAUCGCUGGGUGUUGAAAGAAGCUUCGUCAAUCUCUUCCGCGCUCGUGUUUGUAGGAGGAGGAGUUCCGGUCGUAUCUUGGGGCGGUGUUUCCGGUUAAUCCCGCAUGAAGGACAAAAAUAUGUCUUAGGACAGUGCUUCGCACGCUUCUGGAUCAAAUUAAUUUGGCAUUCUACUUCCACAAUUUUAUUUUUUUGGGAUUUAGCGAUUAUCGGUAAGUGAAUGUUAUUAAUUUUAUCACUAAAUUAGUUAGAUUUAGUCACAAUCGAAUUUCGUUGCGGUUUUUCUCCAACAAAAUAUGUUAAAUUAAAAUUAUAAGCUAGCACUUACAU